GACGAACGCUGGCGGCGUGCUUAACACGUGCAAGUCGAACGGAAAGGCCCUGCUUUUGUAGGGUGCUCGAGUGGCGAACGGGUGAGUAACACGUGAGUAACCUGCCCUUGACUUUGGGAUAACUUCAGGAAACUGGGGCUAAUACCGGAUAGGAGCUCCUGCUGCAUGGUGGGGGUUGGAAAGUUUCGGCGGUUGGGGAUGGACUCGCGGCUUAUCAGCUUGUUGGUGGGGUAGUGGCUUACCAAGGCUUUGACGGGUAGCCGGCCUGAGAGGGUGACCGGCCACAUUGGGACUGAGAUACGGCCCAGACUCCUACGGGAGGCAGCAGUGGGGAAUAUUGCACAAUGGGCGGAAGCCUGAUGCAGCAACGCCGCGUGCGGGAUGACGGCCUUCGGGUUGUAAACCGCUUUCGCCUGUGACGAAGCGUGAGUGACGGUAAUGGGUAAAGAAGCACCGGCUAACUACGUG
rnacentral:rRNA from 1 species